AGUCAGUCAGCAAGGGCCACACAAGGGAACAGACAGCUCUGAACUAAACACGGACUCAGACUCACUUCAGAAAGCGAUGGCCUUCUCAUCUGGCCGGCCCACCCGCUCUAGGAAGCAGAGGGCAGGGUCUGCACGCACUGUGUUAUACUUCUCAUAACCUGUAUAGUGGACCACAGUGGAGAGACAGACAGCCUGGAGUGUGGGAGGUAUCUGACAGAGAAGGGAACCUCUCUGCCCCAGACAUAGAGCUCAUACAUGCACAUGAGUGUCGUUCUGUGGGUUCCAGUCUGAGUCAAAGAUAAUACAGGUGUCAGCAGCAGUCAAGUUGAUGCCCAGACCUCCAGCCCGGGUACACAGCAGGAACACAAAGCGGUCCGAGUCUGGUUUGCUGAAACGGUCUAUAGCUGCCUGACGCAGGUUACCUCUCACUCUGCCAUCGAUACGCUCAUACAGCCUCUUUCCCAGGAGCCCUGGCCUCGCCUCUGCCUUCCCCCACAUCCUACCCCUCAUCUUCUUCACCUUACACACCUCACCUCUACAGUGACCCACUUCCCUCCACCCGCCCAGACUCCUCUCUCCCUGUGUCUGCUGUGGGAGUGCCCCGAGGGAGUCUGUGACCUGCCGCUGAACCCCGGCUAAGCCUUUCCUAGCCACUGAGCGGAGCACCGCGCCUUGUGUGUUUACACUGGUUUGGUUCGGGGUUUGAGUGCCAGAAAGAAGCAUGGAGGGGAAAAGAACACAGGGCCAGGCACAGGCUAGUGAGAGACAAGAGAGGAUAGCGAGAGGGAGAAGAAGAGAGAGGACAGAAAUAUCCAGAGGGAGGGAAAAAGAGAUAGAGACCACACAGACCAGGCCAGUCGCCUGCUUUCCUCAGCUUAGACGGGCUGCUGGGAUAAUAUCCUUUUCAUUUAGCGUGCAAACAGGAAGCUCAUUAAGCCAGGAGAUUAAGACCUUGAAUGAAAGGGUCUUGGUACAUUCUUCUGCUUCUGUUACACAGUCUUUAUCAUCUCCCUGCUCUGCGUAGCAUUAUGGAGUGAUGAGCACUGGGGGCUUUAAAAGGCUCUUUCUCAGACAGAGAGAGGCUAAUGCUUAGAUAUUAUUCAACUACAUUCAAUUUAAUAAGGGAAAGUACUGGAGUGAUUCAGCUUUUGCUGCACUGCAAACUGCUAGUUAGCUAACACCUGAUAAUAAACCAUAAAUACGUCACUUUGAAAAUGGAGCUGAAAAAUUGAAAUUACAAAGUCUAUUACCCUCUCAAGCAUGAUUCCUGUCUUUUUCCACAUCAGUCUAGCUGAAAGAUAUGAAAUAUCUGAGGAGAGAGAACCUUGAUUUCCAGGCUUCUAUUGGAGUGGAGUACUUGGGAGCAUAGUAAUACAAGGCGAGAAGAGAGGCAGGCAGCAGUACCUUCUCUGGAUGAGGUAGUCCUCCAGGAUAUCCAGACAGCGGACCAUCUGGGAGAAGAUGAGGACCUUGUGUCCCCCGGCCUUCAUCUUGGGCAGCAGCUUGUCUAUGAGGACCAGUUUACCAGCCGACUGCACCAUGGCCUGCAGGUGGAAAUCAAAGGCAACAGGGCUGUACACCUCUCGGAAGUCCUCCAAGAUCUUCUCCUCAGCACCUGGGAGAAAUGGACAGGCAAAUAAAGUCAAUGAUGGUAUCAGUGUUUCUGCUACAAUUGUACAAGAAGGGCAGGCCCCCGUCUAAUGCUGUUGCCACUAGAGUUUGGCUUCUAUUGGGAAAAGACUGGAUGACACUUAAUCUGGUACCAUGCUACCAUUUUGACCUAAUCUGUAUGCAGUUCAUAUAUAGGAACCUACUUUAAGACAGACAGGAAUAGCAACUCAGUCAUGGAACCGAUUUUGUACAAUAUGGUACUGGAAAAAAGAGGGUGGACCAGAGUGAGGUGGCGGUACAAGGAACUCUCUCUCUGGUCACUGGCUAGAAGGAUAAUGACCAAGCAACUGAAUGACCAAGGAGACAGUUCACACACACAGCUCACUGCCUCCAACUCACAUAACCAGCAUAGAUAUAAAAUGGUGCCGGAAGAAAUGGCAGCAGUUUUACGGGUGCCCAACCAAUUGUGCUAUUAUGUGUUUUUUUUUUGCGUUAUUUGCCACUUACAGUGCCUUACGAAAGUAUUUGGCCCCCUUGAACUUUGCGACCUUUUGCCACAUUUCAGGCUUCAAACAUAAAGAUAUAAAACUGUAUUUUUUUGUGAAGAAUCAACAACAAGUGGGACACAAUCAUGAAGUGG